AAAUUGAUUUUUACUAUUUAAAUUAAUUUAUAAAUGUUAAGUUAAAAUAAUAUAUUUUUUAGUAACUUUUAUUGAAAUAAUAAAAUUAGUGAUAGUUUAUAGUACUGUAAAGGAGAAAUCUCAUUUUUAUUUAAGUAUAUUUUAUUUAUAGUACCUUUUGUAUCAGGGUUUAUUAAAUUUAAAUUAAGUAUUUAAUUUUCCCGAAAAUGAAAGAGUUAUAAUUUUAUGUUAGUUUAUGUGUCAUAAUAAUUGAUAAUAAAAUUAUAGAGGUUAUAUGCUAUUCAAUUUUAUAUAUCUGGUUUUUUGAUAAAUGAAUUUAAUUCAGAUGGUUUUUAGUUAUUAAAAAUUUUAAUUUUUAGUAAUUAAUUCUGUUAAUAUUAUUGAGGAUAAGCUCAUUAAUAUUUUUAUAAUUAAUUUAAAUUUAAGCUAUAGUAGGCUUAAUAACAGCCAUCAUUGAUUUCGUUAAAGUUUAAGCUUAAAUUAUUUUUAUUUUUUAUUAAUUUAAUUUUUUAUCAAUAUUUUUUAUUUAAUUAUUAUUUAGAAGUAAUAAUGAUAAAAUUAGUAAUUUUGUAUAUUUGAAUAUAAGAAUUCGGCAAAAUUAAUUUUCACCUGUUUAACAAAAACAUGUCCUGUUGUUUAUAAUAUCAGGUCUAGCCUGCUCAAUGAAUUAUUUUAAAUGGCCGCAGUAUUUUAACUGUGCAAAGGUAGCAUAAUAAUUUGUCUUUUAAUUGGAGGCUUGAAUGAAUGGUUGGAUGAAAUAUUAACUUUUUUUAUUUAAAUUAUUUGAAUUUAAUUUUUUAGUUAAAAAGCUAAAAUUUUUUUGUAAGACGAGAAGACCCUAUAGAAUUUUAUUUUUAAUUAUUAAUUAGUUAUUAAGAAUUUAUUAAGAUUUAUUAUUAGUUAAAAAUUUUGUUGGGGUGACAAUGAAAUUUUACUAACUUUCAUUAAAUAUAGAACAUUGAUGUAUGUUUUAAUGAUCCUGAAUUUUGGAUUACAAGAUUAAAUUACCUUAGGGAUAACAGCGUUAUUUUUUUGGAGAGUUCAUAUCGAUAAAAUAAGUUUGCGACCUCGAUGUUGGAUUAAAAUAAGUAUUAGGCGCAGGAGUUUAAUUACUAAGUCUGUUCGACUUUUAAAAUUUUACAUGAUCUGAGUUCAGACCGGCGUAAGCCAGGUUGGUUUCUAUCUACAAAUAAAUUUAAAUAAUUUAGUACGAAAGGACAAAUUAUUUAUAAAAUUUAUUUUUUUAAUGAUUAUUAUU
rnacentral:rRNA from 1 species